UACGUAGGGACCAAGCGUUGUUCGGAUUUACUGGGCGUAAAGGGCGCGUAGGCGGCUUAACAAGUCACUUGUGAAAUCUCCGGGCUUAACUCGGAACGGCCAAGUGAAACUGUCAAGCUAGAGUGCGGAAGGGGCAAUCGGAAUUCUUGGUGUAGCGGUGAAAUGCGCAGAUAUCAGGAGGAACACCGGUGGCGAAGGCGGGUCUCUGGGCCGAUACUGACGCUGAGGAGCGAAAGCGUGGGGAGCGAACAGG
rnacentral:rRNA from 1 species